AUUGAACGCUGGCGGCAUGCUUUACACAUGCAAGUCGAACGGUAACAGGCCUUCGGGUGCUGACGAGUGGCGAACGGGUGAGUAAUGCAUCGGAACGUGCCCAGAGGUGGGGGAUAACGCAGCGAAAGCUGUGCUAAUACCGCAUAUUAUCUGAGGAUGAAAGCGGGGGACUAAGCAGCAAUGUUUGGCCUCGCGCCUUUGGAGCGGCCGAUGUCAGAUUAGGUAGUUGGUGGGGUAAAGGCCUACCAAGCCGACGAUCUGUAGCUGGUCUGAGAGGACGACCAGCCACACUGGGACUGAGACACGGCCCAGACUCCUACGGGAGGCAGCAGUGGGGAAUUUUGGACAAUGGGCGCAAGCCUGAUCCAGCAAUGCCGCGUGCAGGAAGAAGGCCUUCGGGUUGUAACUGCUUUGUACGGAACGAAAAGGACUCUGGUUAAUACCUGGGCGUCAUGACGGUACCGUAAGGAAUAAGCACCGGC
rnacentral:rRNA from 1 species